rnacentral:rRNA from 1 species
UGCGCAGGCGGGAUAUUAAGUCAGAGGUGAAAGCCCCGAGCUCAACUUGGGAACUGCCUUUGAAACUGAUAUUCUUGAAUGUAGUUGAGGUAGGCGGAAUACAGCAUGUAGCGGUGAAAUGCAUAAAUAUGCUGUAGAACACCAAUUGCGAAGGCAGCUUACUAGACUAUUAUUGACGCUGAGGCACGAAAGCGUGGGGAGCGAACA